rnacentral:rRNA from 1 species
AGGAAGCGAGAAAUCGACGCGCCUUUCAGGCGUCCGGCCCUCCGCGAGCACCCGCGGGGUUUCGGGACACGGACCCGGUCCGAUCCCGUCACCACCGAGGGGCUGUCCGCGAAUAAAUGGAGGUGUCCUCGGACGGCGUCGUCUCUCUCCAGUCCGCGACGCUACGGCUUGGAUGGUCCACCCGACCCGUCUUGAAACACGGACCAAGGAGUCUAACAUGCGCGCGAGUCGUUGGGUCUGAAGCGCUUCGCUAAACCCAUAGGCGCAAUGAAAGUGAAGGCCGCCGUUCAGGCGGCCGAGGGAGGAUCGGGCUGCGGCCCUCGCACUCCCGGGGCGUCUGAUCUCUCAUCGCGAGGGGAGGCGCACCCAGAGCGCACACGUUGGGACCCGAAAGAUGGUGAACUAUGCCUGGCCAGGACGAAGUCAGGGGAAACCCUGAUGGAGGUCCGUAGCGAUUCUGACGUGCAAAUCGAUCGUCGGAGCUGGGUAUAGGGGCGAAAGACUAAUCGAACCAUCUAGUAGCUGGUUCCCUCCGAAGUUUCCCUCAGGAUAGCUUGCGCUCGGAGGAGAGUCUCAUCCGGUAAAGCGAAUGAUUAGAGGCCUUGGGGCCGAAACGGCUUCAACCUAUUCUCAAACUUUAAAUGGGUGAGAGCUCCGGCUUGCUCGAUUCACGAAGCCGGAGACUGGAUCGGAGUGCCUAGUGGGCCACUUUUGGUAAGCAGAACUGGCGCUGUGGGAUGAACCAAACGACGGGUUAAGGCGCCCGAAUCGACGCUCAUGGGAAACCAUGAAAGGUGUUGGUUGCUUAAGACAGCAGGACGGUGGCCAUGGAAGUCGGAAUCCGCUAAGGAGUGUGUAAUAACUCACCUGCCGAAGCAACUAGCCCUGAAAAUGGAUGGCGCUGAAGCGUCGUGCCUAUACCCGGCCGUCGCGGCAGGGCGGGACUUUUUUUAAGUUUCCGUUCGAUGCGGCGACGAGUAGGAGGGUCGCGGCGGCGUGCGCAGAAGGGUCUGGGCUCGAGCCUGCCUGGAGCCGCCGCCGGUGCAGAUCUUGGUGGUAGUAGCAAAUACUCCAGCGAGGCCCUGGAGGACUGAUGUGGAGAAGGGUUUCGUGUGAACAGCCGUUGCACACGAGUCAGUCGAUCCUAAGCCCUAGGAGAAAUCCGACGCCUACGGCGACGGGACUGAAAUAAUUGGAAUAACGACCCGUUGAUCGGGCGAAAGGGAAUCCGGUUCCUAUUCCGGAACCCGGCAGCGGAACCGCUGUUUGUCGGGCCCUCAAAAGGGGUUCGUCAGGGUAACCUAAAAGGGCCCGGAGACGCCGUCGGGAGCCCCGGAAAGAGUUUUCUUUUCUGCAUGAGCGUUCGAGUUCCCUG